rnacentral:rRNA from 1 species
AGAUUGAACGCUGGCGGCAUGCCUUACACAUGCAAGUCGAACGGCAGCACGGGAGCAAUCCUGGUGGCGAGUGGCGAACGGGUGAGUAAUACAUCGGAACGUGCCCAGUAGCGGGGGAUAACUACGCGAAAGCGUGGCUAAUACCGCAUACGCCCUACGGGGGGAAAGGGGGGGAUCGCAAGACCUCUCACUAUUGGAGCGGCCGAUAUCAGAUAGCUAGUUGGUGAGGUAAAGGCUCACCAAGGCGACGAUCUGUAGCUGGUUUGAGAGGACGACCAGCCACACUGGGACUGACGACGACCGGCCCAAGACCUCCGUACGGGAGCAGACGAGGUGGGAAUUU